GACAGAGGGGGCAAGCGUUGCUCGGAAUUACUGGGCGUAAAGGGCGCGUAGGCGGGAUGGCAAGUCGGUCGUGAAAUCCUUCGGCUCAACCGAAGAACGUCGAUCGAUACUGCUGUUCUUGAGGGUUGCAGAGGAGACUGGAAUUCCCGGUGUAGCGGUGAAAUGCGUAGAGAUCGGGAGGAACACCAGUGGCGAAGGCGGCUACCUGGACCAGCACUGACACUGAGGCACGAAAGCGUGGGGAGCAAACAGG
rnacentral:rRNA from 1 species